GGAUAACCGUAGUAAUUCUAGAGCUAAUACAUGUAUAAAGUCUUGUAGACUGCAUUUAUUAGAAUGAAAACCAUAGGUUUCGGCCUAUUCGUGAGUAAUAAUAACUAAUCAUAUCGUAUGCUUAUGUAACGAUGUGUCUUUCAAGUUUCUGCCCCAUCAGCUUUCGAUGGUAGUGUAUUGGACUACCAUGGCAGUAACGGGUAAGGAAGA
rnacentral:rRNA from 1 species